GACGAACGCUGGCGGCGUGCCUAAUACAUGCAAGUCGAACGAACUCUGGUAUUGAUUGGUGCUUGCAUCAUGAUUUACAUUUGAGUGAGUGGCGAACUGGUGAGUAACACGUGGGAAACCUGCCCAGGAGCGGGGGAUAACACCUGGAAACAGAUGCUAAUACCGCAUAACAACUUGGACCGCAUGGUCCGAGUUUGAAAGAUGGCUUCGGCUAUCACUUUUGGAUGGUCCCGCGGCGUAUUAGCUAGAUGGUGGGGUAACGGCUCACCAUGGCAAUGAUACGUAGCCGACCUGAGAGGGUAAUCGGCCACAUUGGGACUGAGACACGGCCCAAACUCCUACGGGAGGCAACAGUAGGGAAUCUUCCACAAUGGACGAAAGUCUGAUGGAGCAACGCCGCGUGAGUGAAGAAGGGUUUCGGCUCGUAAAACUCUGUUGUUAAAGAAGAACAUAUCUGAGAGUAACUGUUCAGGUAUUGACGGUAUUUAACCAGAAAGCCACGGCUAACUACGUGCCAGCAGCCGCGGUAAUACGUAGGUGGCAAGCGUUGUCCGGAUUUAUUGGGCGUAAAGCGAGCGCAGGCGGUUUUUUAAGUCUGAUGUGAAAGCCUUCGGCUCAACCGAAGAAGUGCAUCGGAAACUGGGAAACUUGAGUGCAGAAGAGGACAGUGGAACUCCAUGUGUAGCGGUGAAAUGCGUAGAUAUAUGGAAGAACACCAGUGGCGAAGGCGGCUGUCUGGUCUGUAACUGACGCUGAGGCUCGAAAGUAUGGGUAGCAAACAGGAUUAGAUACCCUGGUAGUCCAUACCGUAAACGAUGAAUGCUAAGUGUUGGAGGGUUUCCGCCCUUCAGUGCUGCAGCUAACGCAUUAAGCAUUCCGCCUGGGGAGUACGGCCGCAAGGCUGAAACUCAAAGGAAUUGACGGGGGCCCGCACAAGCGGUGGAGCAUGUGGUUUAAUUCGAAGCUACGCGAAGAACCUUACCAGGUCUUGACAUACUAUGCAAAUCUAAGAGAUUAGACGUUCCCUUCGGGGACAUGGAUACAGGUGGUGCAUGGUUGUCGUCAGCUCGUGUCGUGAGAUGUUGGGUUAAGUCCCGCAACGAGCGCAACGCUUAUUAUCAGUUGCCAGCAUUAAGUUGGGCACUCUGGUGAGACUGCCGGUGACAAACCGGAGGAAGGUGGGGAUGACGUCAAAUCAUCAUGCCCCUUAUGACCUGGGCUACACACGUGCUACAAUGGAUGGUACAACGAGUUGCGAACUCGCGAGAGUAAGCUAAUCUCUUAAAGCCAUUCUCAGUUCGGAUUGUAGGCUGCAACUCGCCUACAUGAAGUCAGAAUCGCUAGUAAUCGCGGAUCAGCAUGCCGCGGUGAAUACGUUCCCGGGCCUUGUACACACCGCCCGUCACACCAUGAGAGUUUGUAACACCCAAAGUCGGUGGGGUAACCUUUUAGGAACCAGCCGCCUAAGGUGGGACAGAUGAUUAGGGUG
rnacentral:rRNA from 1 species